rnacentral:lncRNA from 1 species
UGCCCUUAAUCAGCUUUUCAGUUCAGUUUUAUUGGUUGCACGCACAGUCAGUUAUUUCAUCCAGAAAAUCUGAAGGCCCUACAAACUAACCAGGGUAGCUCUUCUUUGGAGCAAUCCACCAGCUGCCUUGAAUGGAUAUUAAUGUGAAGAAAUGAAAAUUGCUUCUACUUUAAAGACUUUGGAUAUGAUUUAAGAAGCCAAGCAUAUAUAUGAAGUCAGAUAACAAGUUUAUUGUACAACUCAAUGUGGUGGAAAUGAAUGCAAAGCACUUCCAAGACACAGAGAAAUCCAUUCAAGUGAGGCUAGCCACCCCCCAGUCCCUGGAGAUGGAGUUUAUUUCACUUCAUGCAGAAAAGUUACAAAAUAAAAAGGAAAUUACUGGCUUAUGCUUGGUAAGAUAAAAAUGUUUAUUUUA